GAGAGAGAGAGAGAGAGCAGUGUUGAAUUGUUUUCGGUCCUCGAAUAAAUUUAGAGACUAACCAAAAACAAAAGUCCAUAUUUAGACAAACUUGGAAGAUUUAAGGUGUGGGUGUGGAGGAGGUCCUAUGAAUUACCGGCCCUAUCCCCUAAAUAUGUUUGUUUCCGCUUUCAGGCUAGGUAGAUGGGCAUUCUUACACUACCAAUUACUUCUGCUAUUCACCAUGCUGGAAGUCUAUGAUGCUCGAUGUAGUCGUCCGUUUGCCAAAAUUUUAUUUCAAGAGAUCUUGAAAUUACCCCAUACAAAGUAUAAUUUUAUCAUUGAAAUAGUAAUGCAAACUUUUAAUAAUUUUGUAUGAAUAUUUUGUUUUUUCUUCAGGAAUGUUAUCGAAUCCCGGCCGCGACAGACCUAAGUCAUUAAAACAGGAAGUGACAAAUCAAACGCUCGGGUGUGAAUGUCACGGGUACUCGGAGACGACCUUAAAAACGGAUGUCCCAUGUCGCAGUGGGUGUGGCACGCUAAAGAACCCUCACUGCUCAAUGGCCGUGUUCAUCUGAAAUCAUGUAACCUUGGAGCUGCAGGACCCAUACCAAGUAGUUUUAAAGGGAUCGUAAUGAAUGGUGAUGCGUUGAUGUCCACUGUGACGUGUUGGAUGAAGGGAACCUGAAACACAUUGCUAUCUGACGCGUUUCAUACCUAUUGUUAGACCGCUCUUUACACGCUGAUCACUCCGUUUACCUGAUCAAGACCGACAGUGGAUGUUUACUCAUAGGCAGCUGAUCCCGCCUCUGGUGUGUCCAGGGUCCGUGUUUGUCCUGGUUUUAAUUUUGUGCUCCUUAUAGGAAUUGUGAGAUUAAUCACUGUUCGUUAUCUUCACUUUGUUCUGGGAAAUGUCGGAUUUUUCCUGCACGUGGGACAGUAUUAUUUAUAUUGUACUCUGAAUUUGUCUUUUCCAGAAUAAAUGAAUUGCUAUUGCGUUA